rnacentral:rRNA from 1 species
UACGAAGGGGGCUAGCGUUACUCGGAAUCACUGGGCGUAAAGGGUGCGUAGGCGGGUCUUUAAGUCAGGGGUGAAAUCCUGGAGCUCAACUCCAGAACUGCCUUUGAUACUGAAGAUCUUGAGUUCGGGAGAGGUGAGUGGAACUGCGAGUGUAGAGGUGAAAUUCGUAGAUAUUCGCAAGAACACCAGUGGCGAGGGCGGCUCACUGGCCCGAUACUGACGCUGAGGCACGAAAGCGUGGGGAGCAAACAGG